AUUAUAAUCGUUCACCAAUUUCGAGAAAGAUUAUUAUUUGGACGCUUGAAAAAGGAAACGUUUGUCUGCCGAAGAUAAUCACGUGACUCAAGGCCAUGUGCUAGCAUCAACAGUGCGGCAGUGCCACUGAAAGUCAGGCAGUAUGCCGGAGCAACAGUCUUGAUUUUUAGAGGCAGGUUUUAAAGAAAGAAAUCAGUGUUGUAAAGAAAGAAAAAGAUUUUCCACUCAAAGAAUUAUGGAUGACACAGAGUACUUCCUAUUGAUGAUGUCAUAACCAACUUUGAAAAAGUUUUGUUAGAAAGAAAA